UGUGUCAGCACAGGAUAAGCAUCAGCAGCUGCUGGCUGGCAGUGCACUGGGAGUUUAUUUUAUGGACUCUGGGCACAGCCUUGCCACUGGGACAGUGGUUUUACACAGGAAAUCGGGCGUUUUAUGAGACCCUGAUUUCUUAUGGGUGUGCAUUGCGACACACACUGAUUUAUCUGUGUGUAUGAGGUGGAAUUCAAUAAUAUAUCUUAGCAAAAUAAGUCCUUUCUUAGCCAAAAAUGGAGUUUUUAGAAGUGCUUCACUUUAGGCAGGUGUUUCGAUGCCAUUAGCACGAAUGUAAUAUUCAAAAUGAGCAUUUUGCUUCAUUUUGCCCCAAACUCUGAAUUUCUGUCGAAGCUGGAAAACUUUCUGUUGACUUCAGAGCAAGUUUGACACCUGAAAGCACAGUCACAAGUCGUGCAGAUGAAACUUCUGAAUGGGUCAUUUGCUCUUAAAAUACUUUUAAUGGGAAAUACGACAUUUUGGAAUUACAUUAAUUUCCUGUAGUUGGUAAAACGUUUGCUAGACCCAGCAAUACAAAGCCUGCCCAGUAUAAAUAAAUGCCAAUUAUUAAAAUAUGUCGAGCCUUGGAGCCAAGCACGGGCCUGAGAAUGUUUACACUCUUAUCAAUUUAAUUGUGUGGGGCUGUUCCAGCUGACAAAGCUCUGCUAUCUGCUGUCCCACACGGAGUUUUUGGGGAUAUUUUGGAAUCAAUGACUUCCUUCAGGCUCGGGAGGCACCUCCAGGGCUGGAGCAGACCUUCCCCUCCUCUACAGCCAAAGGGGGCAAAGGGCUCUCCCAAGAAGUCAGCCCUGGCUGAUUACAAAAUCCAAAGUGAUUCAUUGCCUGUCUAUCAGGAUCCUAUUUUAAAUCACAAUGAUUCAUAGAGAGCAACGCCUACAUUUUAUAUAAUGAGCUACUUUUACAAUACUGCCAGCACAAGUCAGGGACGUGCUGCUUGUUUCUGCUUUCCUCAAAUCCCUCACAACCAGCAGGGGCCACAUCUCAGUUCCACUGAGGCACCUUGUAAAUGCCAAUUUAUGCUCUUUGCCCUGCAGAAUCCUGCACAGGUUUAUCCUGAUUUUAUAUCACCAGCCAGAUACUUUAUUUUCCAGAUUUUUGUGCAUCUGGAGUUGUUUUUGUGUUGC